rnacentral:tRNA from 1 species
GCGGACGUGGCGGAACUGGCAGACGCGCAGGACUUAGGAUCCUGUCCCGCAAGGGGUCCGGGUUCGACUCCCGGCGUUCGCA